rnacentral:rRNA from 1 species
CUCCGGUUGAUCCCGCCGGACCCGACUGCUAUCAGAGUGGGACUAAGCCAUGCGAGUCAACAUAGCAAUAUGUGGCAUACGGCUCAGUAACACGUAGUCAACAUGCCCAGGGGACGUGGAUAACCUCGGGAAACUGAGGAUAAACCGCGAUAGGUCAUCACUUCUGGAAUGGGUAAUGACUUAAAUCUAUAUGGCCCUUGGAUUGGACUGCGGCCGAUCAGGCUGUUGGUGAGGUAAUGGCCCACCAAACCUGUAACCGGUACGGGCUCUGAGAGGAGGAGCCCGGAGAUGGGCACUGAGACAAGGGCCCAGGCCCUAUGGGGCGCAGCAGGCGCGAAACCUCUGCAAUAGGCGAAAGCUUGACAGGGUUACUCUGAGUGAUUUCCGUUAAGGAGAUCUUUUGGCACCUCUAAAAAUGGUGCAGAAUAAGGGGUGGGCAAGUCUGGUGUCAGCCGCCGCGGUAAUACCAGCACCCCGAGUGGUCGGGACGUUUAUUGGGCCUAAAGCAUCCGUAGCCGGUUCUACAAGUCUUCCGUUAAAUCCACCUGCUUAACAGAUGGGCUGCGGAAGAUACUAUAGAGCUAGGAGGCGGGAGAGGCAAGCGGUACUCGAUGGGUAGGGGUAAAAUCCGUUGAUCCAUUGAAGACCACCAGUGGCGAAGGCGGCUUGCCAGAACGCGCUCGACGGUGAGGGAUGAAAGCUGGGGGAGCAAACCGGAUUAGAUACCCGGGUAGUCCCAGCUGUAAACGAUGCAGACUCGGUGAUGAGUUGGCUUAUUGCUAACUCAGUGCCGCAGGGAAGCCGUUAAGUUUGCCGCCUGGGGAGUACGGUCGCAAGACUGAAACUUAAAGGAAUUGGCGGGGGAGCA